UGCUGUUAACUUGGUGAAUGCGAGUCAAUUAUACCUCCAUAUCCAGUCGUGAAUAUUUGGGAUUUUCCAGUGCCCAACUUUUUUGAAACUCCUUCUGCAUCUAAAUAUCAACAAAAACUCCCGACCAGAGUUGAUGACGGGAAUGGAGGAUGACCAGCAAUUUCCCCACCACAGACAUGCUCGACACCUGCAAAACUACACCAACUAAACAAAAGGCAGUCUCCAGUGGAAGACUUGGUAUCUUCAAUUUGCUUAUAGGGCGUAAGUUUGCACACUGAUAGACUGGUGUCCCAUCUGGGGUGUCCACUGGUUUGGAUCUGAUACUUCCUGGGACAGGCCUGAGGUUCACUGGGACCCUGCAUUAAAUAUGUGCGUAUGGAAGUUAGAUGGAUACAUUUUAAUGUCAUAGGGAUAAAUAAAAAUAUGCUUUAGAUGUUAUCUUAAAAAUUAAUUAAAUCUUUACUAAGAGGAUCAUAUGGUGAAGACUGAGGACAGAUUGUCAAACAUCAUAGGCAUGUUUGGAUCCAAUACAUGGCAGAAUAUAAUACUGAAGAAAACACUCUAGGUAUGAACAGGUGGAAUUUUAUGGUAUGCAUGAAUCAAUAACUGUCACGUUAUGAUUUUUAUUUUGUUUUUA